CAGCCGCCGCGGGAAUACGAAGGGUGCAAGCGUUAAUCGGAAUUACUGGGCGCAAAGCGUGCGUAGGCGGUGAGUUAAGUCUGCUGUGAAAUCCCCGGGCUCAACCUGGGAAUGGCAAUGGAAACUGGACGGCUAGAGUGUGUCAGAGGAUGGUGGAAUUCCCGGUGUAGAGGUGAAAUUCGUAGAUAUCGGAAGGAACACCUGUGGCGAAAGCGGCUCACUGGACCAUUUCUGACGCUGAUGCACGAAAGCUAGGGGAGCAAACAGGAUUAGAUACCCCCGUAGUCCCUGUCUCUUAUAC
rnacentral:rRNA from 1 species